UGCUGGCCCUCAAAUGGGGGCAUGUGCACGCUCUGUUUACACAUCCACUCACACCUGUGCACCCUCUGUAGUUCCAUGGCAUGGAGGCUCUGUCCUCCUGCUGCGGUUCUAUGUCUUUACACACACACUGUAACAAAGUCUCAUGGAAUGCAUAUCGCGUUUAACGCAAUACAAUACAACUUUCAGCAACGGAUCUCUUGGCUCUCGCAUCGAUGAAGAACGCAGCGAAAUGCGAUAAGUAAUGUGAAUUGCAGAAUUCAGUGAAUCAUCGAAUCUUUGAACGCACCUUGCGCCCUUUGGCUAUUCCGAAGGGCAUGCCUGUUUGAGUAUCAUGAACACCUCAACUCUCAUGGUUUUUCUGUGAAGAGCUUGGACUUUGGGGGUCUUGCUGGCCUAUGGGUCAGCUCCUCUUAAAUGAAUCAGCUUGCCAGUGUUUGGUGGCAUCACAGGUGUGAUAACUAUCUACGCUUGUGGUUUUCCAUCAGGUAACCUUCAGUGAUGGAGGUUCGCUGGAGCUCAUAAAGGUCUCUCCUCAGUGAGGAGGGGGCUUCUUUUGAAUGUUUGAUCUC
rnacentral:rRNA from 1 species